CCCAAAAGAGACUGCGGUGACACACCGUACGUUAUUGAAGCGUUCUUUGUAUAGCUCACACCGAUUGUCUGAUGUAAAACGACUUGAAAGCGUCGAGUAUUUUUACCUACAAUGUGUAAUGAACGUCCUUUUAUUAGAACAAAACAAAACUUUCAACAAACGAUCGCUUGGCUCUCGUAUCGGGCAACAACGCAGCGGUUUGCGAUAAGUAAUGUGAAUUGCAAAAUUCACUGAAUCAUCGAAUCUUUGAACGCAACUUGCGCUCUCUGGUAUUCCGGAGAGCAUGCCUGUUUCAUUGUCAUGAAAUCUCAACCACUAGGGUUUCCUAAUGGAUUGGAUUUGGGGGUCUGCUAUUUCUGAUCGCUCGCCUUAAAAGAGUUAGCAAGUUUGACAUUAAUGUCUGGUGUAGUAAGUUUCACUGGGUCCAUUGUGUUGAAGCGUGCUUCUAAUCGUCCGCAAGGACAAUUACUUUGACUCUGGCCUGAAAUCAGGUAGGACUACCCGCUGAACUUAAGCAUAUCAAUAAGCGGAGGAAAAAAAACCAACCAGGUUAAUAAGGCGAACCAACCGAACUGACACAUCUAAGUACCCCGAGGAAACGAAACCAACCAUACACUCACUAUCAUUAACUGAAUCCUUAGGUUAAUGAGGCGAACCGCGUGAACUGAAACAUCCAAGUACCCCAAGGAAACCAAACAAACCAA
rnacentral:rRNA from 1 species